ACUGCUCAGUAACACGUGGCUAACCUGCCCUUGGGACAAGGACAACUCCGGGAAACUGGGGCUAAUCCCUGAUAAGUGAGAACCCCUGGAAUGGAUUCUCGCUCAAAGGACGUUUAGACCAUGCUUCUAAGCGUCGCCCAAGGAGGGGGCCGCGACCGAUCAGGUUGUUGGUGAGGUAACGGCUCACCAAGCCUUUAACCGGUACGGGCCGUGAGAGCGGAAGCCCGGAGAUGGGCACUGAGACAAGGGCCCAGGCCCUACGGGGCGCAGCAGUCGCGAAAACUCCGCAAUACACGAAAGUGUGACGGGGCCAUCCCGAGUGCCAUCCGCUGAGGAUGGCUUUUCCCCAGUGUAUAAAGCUGGGGGAAUAAGGAGAGGGCAAGCCUGGUGUCAGCCGCCGCGGUAAUACCAGCUCUCCGAGUGGUGGGGAUGUUUAUUGGGCCUAAAGCAUUCGUAGCCUGCUUGGCAAGUCCUCCGUUAAAUCCAACGAUUCAAUCGUUGGGCUGCGGGGGAUACUGUCCAGCUAGGGGGCGGGAGAGGCCGACGGUAUCCCCGGGGUAGGGGUGAAAUCCUAUAAUCCCGGGAGGACCACCAGUGGCGAAGGCUGUCGGCUAGAACGCGCUCGACGGUGAGGGAUGAAAGCUGGGGGAGCGAACCGGAUUAGAUACCCGGGUAGUCCCAGCUGUAAACGAUGCAGGCUAGGUGUUGGCGCGGCUACGUGCCGCUCCAGUGCCGCAGGGAAGCCGUUAAGCCUGCCGCCUGGGAAGUACGGCCGCAAGGCUGAAACUUAAAGGAAUUGGCGGGGGAGCACCACAAGGUGUGAAGCUUGCGGUUUAAUUGGAGUCAACGCCGG
rnacentral:rRNA from 1 species